UCAAUCAAUAAAAGAAUAUCGCACUCAAACACAAAUUAAACUAGAUAUUAAAAUUUUUAUUAGUAAAGAAUAGUUUCUUUUUUUAAGGAAUUGGUAUGAGUGAGGAAAAAGGUAUAGAGUCUCUCCCUUCCGAUGCAGUAAUUGGCCCAGGUCAGCUGGUUGCCAUUCCUGUCGGCUUGGCCAUCCCCCCCGUUGACAUCAAAAUUUGGGAUAGCUCUCAUGAAAUGACAUCGGAGC